GUUACCAAACAGCAAACAACUUUUUAUAAAAUUUCUACUUCGGACAGCUCUACUUCCAACAGCUAUCCUGCCAACAGCUCCCUCAAAUAGGACCUUAUACUAGCAUAAGUAUCACUGAAAAUUAAAGCACUACAUACGAGUGAGGUAGUUAAAUUGACCACAGCAAAGUCAUAUAGAUUAUAGCUUCAUUACAUCAACUACUUGAAAUUUACACUCACUGAUCUCCUCUUAUGCCAAUAAUAAAGAUUCAUAUGCUAAAUCCCAAUGGCAGAAAAAAUAAA
rnacentral:lncRNA from 1 species